GCCAGAAGAACGGUAAAGAUUUCAAAAAAAUAAAAAUCUACCUGGACACUCUCAAAAGGAAACAAACGGAAAAAAUAACCCAGAUACUAAAAAAGGGGUGGGAGGGGAGUAAAAGUGCUCUUUUGCAGCCGCCAUUUAUUCGUUUAGUUUCUCCAAUUGUUUAAAUGUGUGCAAGAGGGGGGUGGCGACAGCAGAGCUUUAGGCUUUGCAGGAACGGAGGGUCAAGGCGCAAGAGCCCCCCUCUCCCUACCCUCCGAGGCCAGGACGAAUAUGUGAAAUUAAAAUAAAACCGGGCUCCUAGAUGCUUGAAAAGCGGCGCCAUUUUGAUGAAUGAUAACAUUAGAGAAAUAAGGAAUGUUUAGGGAAAGGAAAGGAGGGCGAGGUGAAGCGAGGAAAAAAGGAGGCAGAGUGAAAGAAGCAAUGGAACUGUGAAGUAGCUUAAUGUGAGAGAUACUGGCUUUCCCAAAGUGGCCAAAGAGCUUCAUGCCUGAGUGGAGAUUUGAACUCAGUUUCUGCAUUCCAAGUCCAGCAAGUCACCAACUACACCACACUGGCUCUUGGGCAACGAGAGCUUCUGGCAGGCAGCCGAAACUCUUCUCUUGUCAGGUC